GCAAUAAAACUAGCCCAACCACCUAAUCAAGUAGACUAAAGAGAUUAAACCAAACCAUUUGCCUAAACUAGUAUAUGUGAUAGAAAGUUUCUUCUGGAGCAAUAGAAGCAGUACCGUAAGGAAACAUUGAAAGAACAAUGAAACACUCAUGCAAUAAAAAGCAAAGACUAGCACUUGUACCUUUUGCAUCAUGGUUUAGCCAGACAUUACAGACAAAAUGAAAUUAGCCUGUACCCCGAAACUAAGUGAGCUACUAUAGGGCAACUAAAAGAGUGAACCCGUCUCUGUAGCAAAAGAGUGGGAUGACCCAACAGUAGCGGUGAAAAGCCUAACGAACUUAGUCAUAGCUGGUUACUCAAAAAAUGAAUUUUAGUUCAACUUUAGGUCACACAAAGCGAAAUACUAGCACACCUAAAAGAUACUCAAUGAGGGUACAGCCCCAUUGAGACAGGAAACAACCAUAAUUAGAGAGAUAGUAAACGCAUCUAACCAGUAAGCUUUAAAACAGCUAUCAGAAAACAAAGCGUCAAAGCACAAUAUAAGAAAAAUACCAAUAUACCCUACAAACUCCUAAUAUACAUUGAGUUACACUAUAACAAUAGAUGAACUAAUGCUAAAACUAGUAACAAGAAUAAUUCUCUACGACACACCCCUGACCCAGUAAUAGAAAACCUACUGACAAUUAACAGACCAAAACAGGCAAAACACCUACUGUUUAUUACACUGUCAAACCAACACAGGAGCGUCCAGAAGAAAGAUAAAAAGUUGUAGAAGGAACUCAGCAACACUUAUCCCAACUGUUUACCAAAAACAUAGCCUUUAGCAACAUUAGUAUUAAAGGUCCUGCCUGCCCAGUGAAACUUAAUUUUAACGGCCGCGGUAUUCUAACCGUGCAAAGGUAGCGUAAUCACUUGUCUUCCAAAUAAAGACCAGUAUGAAUGGCUAAAUGAGGAUAAACCUGUCUCCUACACCCCAUCAGUGAAACUGAUCUCCCAGUCCAAAAGCUGGGAUAUUAACACAAGACGAGAAGACCCUGUGGAGCUUAAAACUUACUAUUAAUAGACUCAUCAAGAGUAACUACUACUAGGUUUUGAGUUGAGGGCGACUUCGGAACAAAACAAAACUUCCGAGCACAGGACCACCAUUCCAACCAAGGCUAACAAGCCGAAACAUAUUUGACCCAGUCACACUGAUCAACGAACCAAGUUACCCCAGGGAUAACAGCGCCAUCUUCUUCAAGAGUCCAUAUCGACAAGAAGGUUUACGACCUCGAUGUUGGAUCAGGACACCCUAAUGGUGUAGCCGCUAUUAAAGGUUCGUUUGUUCAACGAUUAAUAGUCCUACGUGAUCUGAGUUCAGACCGGAGCAAUCCAGGUCGGUUUCUAUCUAUGAUGCUGCCUUCUUCAGUACGAAAGGAAAAAGAAGGACGGGCCCAUGCUAAAAGCACGCCCGAACAAUAUGACUGAAGAAAACUAAAGUCAUACAGCAGCGGAUAAAGCCGAGAUAUCGACUU
rnacentral:rRNA from 1 species